ACAAAAUCAAAAACCCUAAACCCUUGCUUGCGCUGUUCUCGUUCCUCCUCCGAUCUGAUCUCAUCGUCAAUGGCUUCAACGUGUAGCAGAAUCGCACAGAGAGCAUCGAUUUCGUCCAUAAAAUCGGCCAUUAAAUCCAACAUUCGUACUUCUUCUUUCACCAAACCAACCUCCUCCUCUGCUCCUCUUCCCCGAUCCUUCCUGACCAGGAUUGCGCCGGAACUGAGAUGCGUGCAGUCGAUGUUGCCGCUGCACAGUGCGGUGGCGGUGGCCAGAAUGAUGUCGUGCCUGAGCAUAACUUCUAGAAGCUGCCGAGCGCUUUCUCAGGGUACUCUCUGCUGCACCUCUCCCGGCCUCUAAUACUUUCUUUUUCAAAAUUAUUCGCAAAGUGCACAUAGUUAAUUGGGAAUUUGCGGGACCAGCCAAUUAUGGCGUACUGCUUCAUUAUCAAAUGGAAUUGAUGGAACGUGAGACAUGCAUAUGCUGUUCUUAAGAGCUUGGUCUAUCGGUUCCAAGGUGACCUGCUAGAAGAGAUUGAAGAAAGCCUUUUACGUUUGUAAGCUUGGAUUUAUGGUUGUUAUAUCAUACGCAGGAAGCGGCUACACUCACUGUAAUUCUUUCAGUCUGAGACAAUGAUUUUUGACUGAAUAAAAGAUA